GCCAGUGUUGUGUAGUGGUGUGAGUGUUAGACUGUGACUCUGGAGACCAGAGUUCAGAUCCCUGCUCAGCCA